UAGGACUUUUUUUUUGUUUUCUUUUUGUUGUAUGAACCUAGAGGCAUGGAUGAGCGGUUAUGCUGCCAAGUUUAGUGUUUCUGGGAUGUGUAGUUUUGUUGUUUUGUCCUAGGCCGAAAUUUCAUUACCUUUUAAUAUAUAUAGAUACCCCUAUCAGUGCAUGUGCCUCGAUUGAGUAUCUCCCAUUCCCCAAACCUGCCUGUCGGUUAACUGAGAGUCUGUAUAUGUGUGUGGGGGGAUGUUUGUAUAUAUAUGUGCAUCUAUCUCUCCAUCUAUGACAUACCCCUUGAUCAGUGCAUAUGCCUCGAUUGGAAGGAGGCAGGCAGACCCCGCUCCCCUCCCUCCCUCCCUCCCUCCGUCACGGUGACGUCACCGGGCCCGCUCUCUGUCCUCCGCCCCUCCCUCCCUUCCCUCCUUCCAGCCAAGGGUCGGGGAUCCGCUGCUUGGCCGCCCAGGGCCGGGAAGGGAUGCUGGGCGGCUUCCAGGCGGGGCCCCCGGAGGGGAGGAGAGCAUGACCCGCCGCGAUCGGCUCAUGAAAGGCAGACCCCAGAGGCAGCCCGAGGCCAGGGGCGGAAACGGGGCCGGUUACGUUCUCACCCGACCAACCCUCGUCCUGAUGCUGGAAAGGGGAGAACAGCCUUGCAUGAGCAACAGCAAGACUGGGGCUGUCAACCACCCUCUGAGUGGCAGCAUUGUGGAUGCACAAGCCCUGAAGGAGAACGCCAAGUCGCCUUCCCCGACGGCCCUGUCUUCUCCGCCCACCACGGAGUCUCCCAAGCCAGCCCGGUCCCAACGUCCACGGCCGCCUCGGUGCUGCCUCCGAACGGGUCCCUACCAGGGCAAGGGACUGUGCCAAACGCCUUUGUGUAUCGGCUCCAAGCUGGCCCUGCUCGAAUUGCCUCACUGUGCUGA
rnacentral:lncRNA from 11 species